UACGUAGGGGGCGAGCGUUGUCCGGAUUUAUUGGGCGUAAAGAGCUCGUAGGCGGCUUGGCAAGUCGGGUGUGAAACCUCCAGGCUCAACCUGGAGACGCCACUCGAUACUGCCAUGGCUAGAGUCCGGUAGGGGACCACGGAAUUCCUGGUGUAGCGGUGAAAUGCGCAGAUAUCAGGAGGAACACCGGUGGCGAAGGCGGGUCUCUGGGCCGAUAUUGACGCUGAGGAGCGAAAGCGUGGGGAGCAAACAGG
rnacentral:rRNA from 1 species